AUGAGUUAGCGCGUGUCCAGAUGAACAUUUCAGGGAUCCCGGUGCCGCGGAAAAUCUAAAGGGGCAGGAGAGGCGGUCAUGCAGCAGCAAUCGACACCGGGUGUGCUCUCCCCACCCCAACACCGGCUCUUUUAUGGCUGGUGGAUCGUCAUCAUCGGAUGCAUCCAGGACGCGGUGAAGGGAGGCCUGUUUAAUACAGGUUUUAGCCUGUAUUUUCUCCCGGUGCUCAACGAACUGCAGCUGAGUCGAGCGGCGACGUCUCUGCCGUUCUCGUUGGCGAAACUCGAGUCCGCCCUGAUUGGCCCGAUUG
rnacentral:misc_RNA from 1 species